UAACGCGUGGGUAACCUGCCCUGUACACACGGAUAACAUACCGAAAGGUAUGCUAAUACGAGAUAAAAUACUUUUAUCGCAUGGUAGAAGUAUCAAAGCUUUUGCGGUACAGGAUGGACCCGCGUCUGAUUAACUAGUUGGUAAGGUAACGGCUUACCAAGGCGACGAUCAGUAGCCGACCUGAGAGGGUGAUCGGCCACAUUGGAACUGAGACACGGUCCAAACUCCUACGGGAGGCAGCAGUGGGGAAUAUUGCACAAUGGGCGAAAGCCUGAUGCAGCAACGCCGCGUGAGCGAUGAAGGCCUUCGGGUCGUAAAGCUCUGUCCUCAAGGAAGAUAAUGACGGUACUUGAGGAGGAAGCCCCGGCUAACUACGUGCCAGCAGCCGCGGUAAUACGUAGGGGGCUAGCGUUAUCCGGAAUUACUGGGCGUAAAGGGUGCGUAGGUGGUUUCUUAAGUCAGAGGUGAAAGGCUACGGCUCAACCGUAGUAAGCCUUUGAAACUGGGGAACUUGAGUGCAGGAGAGGAGAGUGGAAUUCCUAGUGUAGCGGUGAAAUGCGUAGAUAUUAGGAGGAACACCAGUUGCGAAGGCGGCUCUCUGGACUGUAACUGACACUGAGGCACGAAAGCGUGGGGAGCAAACAGGAUUAGAUACCCUGGUAGU
rnacentral:rRNA from 1 species